rnacentral:rRNA from 1 species
AACGAACGCUGGCGGCAUGCCUAACACAUGCAAGUCGAACGAUGCCUUCGGGCAUAGUGGCGCACGGGUGCGUAACGCGUGGGAAUCUGCCUUUCGGUUCGGAAUAACUCAGGGAAACUUGAGCUAAUACCGGAUAACGUCGCACGACCAAAGAUUUAUCACCGAAAGAUGAGCCCGCGUAGGAUUAGCUAGUUGGUGAGGUAAAGGCUCACCAAGGCGACGAUCCUUAGCUGGUCUGAGAGGAUGAUCAGCCACACUGGGACUGCGACACGGCCCAGACUCCUACGGGAAGCAGCAGUGGGGAAUAUUGGACGAUGGGCGAAAGCCUGAUCCAGCAAUGCCGCGUGAGUGAUGAAGGCCUUAGGGUUGUAAAGCUCUUUUACCCGGGAAGAUAAUGACGGUACCGGGAGAAUAAGCCCCGGCUAACUCCGUG